rnacentral:rRNA from 1 species
UAAUACGUAGGAGGCGAGCGUUAUCCGGAUUUAUUGGGCGUAAAGAGCGCGUAGGCGGCCUGUUAAGUCAGUUGUGAAAUCUCCCGGCUCAACUGGGAGGGGUCAACUGAAACUGAUGGGCUUGAGGGCAGCAGAGGGAGGUGGAAUUCCCGGUGUAGCGGUGAAAUGCGUAGAGAUCGGGAGGAACACCAGUGGCGAAGGCGGCCUCCUGGGCUGCUUCUGACGCUGAGGCGCGAAAGCGUGGGGAGCAAACAGGAUUAGAUACCCUGGUAGUCCACGCUGUAAACUAUGGACACUAGGUAUGGGGGGUAUCGACCCUCUCCGUGCCGAAGCUAACGCCAUAAGUGUCCCGCCUGGGGAGUACGGCCGCAAGGCUA